AAGUUUGACCUCACGGUAUAAAAGUUAUAGAGUCAUAAAGUUUUAACCAAAAAAAAAUAAAUUAAAAAAAAGAGGGAUGCAACACGAGGACUUCCCGGGAGGUCACCCAUCCUAGAACAACUCUCCCCCAAGCACGCUUAACUAAAGGUCAAAAUUUGGAGUCGACAAAAAACAAUGGAUAUGUUCCAUUGUCCUGCUUCUUUCAUUUGAGGGCUCUCUUUGGGCUUUACGAAAAGGUAUCAAAUGCCAAGUUUGGCCUCACUGUAUAAAAGUUAUAGAGUCAUACAGUUUUAAUCAAAGAAAAAAAUUUAAAAAAAAAAAAGAAUGAAACACGAGGACUUCCCGGGAGGUCACCCAUACUAGUACUACUCUCACCCAAGCACGCUUAACUGCGGUGUUCUGAUGGGAUCCGGUGUAUUAGUGCUUUUAUGAUCGCAUCCGUUAGUAUAUGCAAUGCAAUCGUAUAUAUUCUUUUUUAAAGACUUGAUGAACCAUUCGCCAUGGGUUCCACCCGCUAUGUAGGGAUACCCCAUCUAUUUUUAACGAGCUUUGAUGCAUGAAAAAAUUCUAAAACAAUGCUUGAACAAGUAAUUUUGGGUCCGUAAUAUAGCCCAAAUCACAAAAAUGCUCGAAAGAGUACUUAAAGGUCAAAAUUUGGGAUCGACAAAAAGUCAAUGGAAAAGUUCCUUUGUCCUGCUUCUUUCGUCGGAGGGCUCUCUUUGGGCUUUACGAAAAGGUAUCACAUGCCAAGUUUGGCCUCACGGUAUAAAAGUUAUAGAAUCAUAAAGUUUUAACCAAAAAAAA
rnacentral:sRNA from 1 species